UCCCUCCGGAUCCCUUUCCCAUCAGAUCUGAAUACCGAUCUCGUGGUCGAAAAAGGAGGAAAAGCAACAUUCCGGCUGGUCUCAUCCUGUGCUGGUGCAGUGCUGCUGGGAGAGGGGCCAGUCAGAAGACAGC